rnacentral:rRNA from 1 species
CGUAGGUGGCAAGCGUUGUCCGGAUUUAUUGGGUUUAAAGGGUGCGUAGGCGGCCCUGUAAGUCAGCGCUGAAAUAUCCCGGCUUAACCGGGAGGGUGGCAUUGAUACUGCAGGGCUUGAGUAAAGUUGAGGUUGGCGGAAUUGACGGUGUAGCGGUGAAAUGCUUAGAUAUCGUCAAGAACACCGAUAGUGUAGACAGCUAACUAAGCUUUAACUGACGCUGAGGCACGAAAGUGUGGGGAUCAAACAGGAUUAGAUACCCUGGUAGUCCACACUGUAAACGUUGAUGACUCGCUGUUGGCGAUAUACAGUCAGCGGCUUAGAGAAAUCGUUAAGUCAUCCACCUGGGGAGUACGCCGGCAACGGUG